CUUUGAACUGAUCUCUCCGGCUUCUGUUCGUCUGUUAACUAUUUUGUUGCCCAUUUUCUCUUUCUUCUCUUGUUUUUUGUUUUUUGUCAUCAUGGAGCACUGGGAUUCUCAGAUGAUGCUGGAACAUAUGUACAUUCACAAUUAUUUGAUCAGAAACAACAUGCAGGAAACUGCCUGAGAUUUUCGCCAGAGAGGCUAAUGUCUGUCCCAAGGCUAUUGCAUUGGAACCUCCUGAAGGGUUUCUGUCAGAAUGGUGGUCAUUAUUUUGGAGUGUAUACUCUACUCAUUGCACAAAUCAUACUGAAGCACUAGAAGACUCUUGAUCAAAGGCAACAAAAUGCUGGAAGUGUGUCUCAGAAUGUUAAUUCUGUUACGCUGGACCCAGAUGUCGAUUAUAUUUUACAAACUCGCCCCACAGUGCAAAAGCCAGGACUUCCUAGUAUGCUACAAACUCUCAAUCCAAGGCCAGACAUAGAAAUUUUGCAGCAAAGUGAUGCUUCGAGAAUGAUGUCAAGGCCAAUAUUAGAACUUCCUAUUUCAGACUUCAGUACAAGGCCAGGACAAACAUCAAGAAGCUUGAUAACUGCACCAAUAUUUGAGCAAGAACGUCUUAAGCUUCCUGUCAGGGACUUGAAUUCUGACCCGCAGGUUCUAAAUGUCAAUGAAUUAGCUUGCAUGCUGCCAUCUUCAAGAAAUUCUAGCCACCUACUGGAGAAAUUAUAUAGGAAUCCUCAGCUUUCUGUUACUAGAUUUGAGGAGAUCCACUACCGCAGAACCAACUUAUCAUCCACCACGACCUAUUCAACCGAAAAUAGGACCUGCUGAUAGAGAUUGCCAAGGGGUGUCUUCAGCUUCCUGUCAAGAACAUGAAUUAUAACUCGGAGCUUUCUGAUUUUAAUCAGUUACGUUGCUUACUGCCAUCUUCAAGCAAUUGCAGCAUGCUUUCAGGAACGUAGUUUGUUUCACUUGGUCCCACGUACAUCCGGGAAGCUGAUAUUAUUACCUGCGUCUUGAAGUUCAUCCAAAAUGGCUAAAACGGAAAAGAUGUUGAGGUCACAUGUGUAACUGUUGACUCGAGGACACUAAGUUUGGCGUGUAAGGGCGCAAAGAUCUUUUUGACUAGUUGUCAAGACAACUUGCUGGACUGUCCGAGUUUCCUCAUGCUAUACAUCUGCUUACCCUCUGCAUCUGCUAUGAUGUUCGUAAAGCUGCUGAAGCAUGCUUUAGUGAAAUAGUCAGGGCUUGUGGACACGAAAUGGCAUGUGACACAAGUUUUGAAAAGUGUACAAGGUUCUUCUUUAGCUAUUGAUGUCGAACAACUGUAACCGUAUAGGACUUUCAAGAAAAUAUCGAAUCGGAUAGAUUGAUUUUAGCAACCAUAUAACAUCCAAAACCAGCUCAAAGGUUGGAAAAUCCAAUGCUUAUGGUGAUUGUGCGCUUCCAUCAUGGCAAGGAACAUAGUUGCAUCUUCAAGAGGCGCUCCUACCAAAGGACCAAGACAAGAUUGAUUGUAUCUGUUCACGACAUCAACAUUCAGUCACACGCCUGAAUGUGAAUGACUCAAACAAGGUAAGAUAAAUUUGGCAGUUGACAUACAAGGUAUGACCUUUUCUUUUUGGUAGUUAUGCUUGAUGUAAUUUUUUUUUUUGUUAAUUUUGUCUGAUUGGUGUCUUCUCAUUCUUUUUAUCUUUUGAUUAUUAGUGAUUGUGGGCUUUUUUUGAUUGGUCUGUGAUUUUUGGGGUUUUAUUCAGAAUUAUUUAUGUGUUUGUGCUUUUUGUAUUUUGAUUGUUUUUGUGAAUGUGGUGUUAUGUGGGUUUGACUGUUUCUGUGAUUUAUUAUGGAUUUUGGUGCAAUUUGAUGACCUAAUUGUUUGUUCUUGUUUCUUGGAUUUGAUCUUUUGUUUCUAGUUAGCUUGUAAUUGUGGGAUGCUUUUUGUGAUUCUCGAUUGUUUCUUGUGGAUUAUGAUUCUUGAAUUUUUAGUUUCUUGGAAUUUGUUUGUAAUUAGUUUUGUGAUUGUGGGCUUGGGUGCAACUGGUGUGAUAUUUGAAUUAGUUUCUUGGACCUUUCUUUGGGUGAAUUUGGUCUUAUUGAUGUUCCAAUAUUUGGUUAGUUUUCUGGGUGUUUGAUUCUUUUGUUGUUCUAAUGGAAUUUCAGUAAUUAGUUGUGUGAUUGUGGGUUUUUUUUUUUAUUGAUUGUUCUGUGGUUUGUGAAAUUUUAUUCUGGUUGUUUAUGUGAUUGUACUGUUUGUAGUGUAAUUUGACGUGUGAUUAUUGUUUGUCUUGUGAUUAACUAUGAUUCAUGGUUUUUUCUGUCUGUCGUGUGAUUUCUGGAUUUGUAUUGUUUAUUGUAUUUUGAUUGUUUGAUCUUUUUUGUUUGUGGUCUUGUGAAAUUACUUGAAUUGUUGUGGAUAUUGGUGCAAUUUGACUUAAUUGUUUGAACUUGUUUCUUUGAUUAGAUAUUUUGUCUUCUAAAUAGUUUAUGUGAUUAUCGGUUGUUUGUAUUCUUUUUGUGAUUGUGGUUUGUCUUGUGAUUCUUUUUGUGAUUGUGGUUUGUGUUCUAAUUCUUUUUGUGAUCGCGAGUUUCUCUUAUGAAUUUUUGUGAAUGUGGGUACUUUUCUCAUUGAUUGUUAUGUGAUUUGUGGGAUUUUAUUCUCUGAUUGUUUAUGAGAUUGUGUUGUUUAUGGUCUCAUUGUAUUCAUAACUGAGAGGUUAUGUGGAUUUCUUUUGUUUCUGUAAUUUAUCGUGGGUUUUGGUGCAAUUUGAGUUAAUUAUUGGUACUUGUUUCUUGGAUUUGAUCUUUUGUUUCUAAUUAGAUUGUAAUUGUGGGUGGUUGUUUGUGAUGCUUGAUUGUUUCUUUGUCAGUUAUGAUUCUUGAAUUUUCAGUUUCUUACUUUCUUGGAAUUUGCUUGAUUUUAUCUUGUAAUUAGUUUUGUUACUGUGGAUUCAUUUUGGUUGUGGUGCUUGAUGUUUUUUUUUCGUUAAUUUUGUGCAACUAAUAUCUUAUGAUCUUUUUUUCUUGUGGUUGUUCGUGAUUGUGUGUUUUUUGUGAUUGUUGUGUGAUUUUUGGGUUUGUGCUUUUUGUAUUUUGAUUGUUUUUGUAACUGUGGUGUGUGUGGGUUUGCACUGUUUCUGUGAUUUAUUGUGGGUUUUGGUGCAUUUUGAUGACCUAAUUGUUCAUUCUUGUUUCUUGGAUUUGAUCUUUUGUUUCUAAUUAGUCUGUAAUUGUGGGAUGCUUUUUGUGAUUCUUGUGGACUAUGAUUCUUGAAUUUUUAGUUUCUUGGAAUUUUGUUUUAAUUUUGUCUUGUAAUUAGUUAUGUGAUUGUGGGUUUGUGGUGCAACUGGUAUGAAUCUGAAUCAGUUUCUUAGACUUUUUUUUGUGGUGUGAUUAUUUAUUUUGUUUUUGGUUAAUUUGGUUUGAUUGAUGUUCUUAAUGUUUGGUUACUUUUCUCGAUGUUUGAUUAUUUUGAUGUUCUGACGGAAUUUUAGCUUAGUUUUGUGAUUGUGGGUUUGCGGUGCAACUGGCUUGAUAUUUGAAUCGUUUCUUGGACUUUUCUAUUUAGUUGUGAUUCUUGAUAUUAUUUGGUUAAUUUGGUGCUACUGAAGUAAGAUUAUUCAGUUAGUUUUCUUGGUGUUUGAUUCUUUUGAAUGUUGUAAUGGGAUUUCAUCCCCUUGCUAUUAUUGAGACAUAGUUUCAUCAAGCUAUGUAUUUCGAUGUUGGUAGUAGUGUUUCAAGCAAGAGCAUUGUGGUUAAGGUAAUUUAUUGUUCUAGAAGUUUAAAUUUUCGUGUAUGGUAUGUUCUAUGUUCAUACUAGUUUUAGUAUAAUGCUUUUGUAUACUUGCAACACGGCUGGGGACUGGGAGGGUUAGAUGGAAUUGGAGCGAACAAGAUGUUUAUUGCCUACCAUCUCUAAUGUUAAAUCCACCUCAGCCCCCAAUGUUGAAGAAAUUUCAAAACAAUUCACCUUUUCUGUUGAUGGUACAAAAUCUUUCUUAACUCGGUGCCACAAUUACUUUCAUUUAUAUUUUUUUUUAUUUGAAAUAAAAGAGCCUAUUUUAGCGUAACUCCUUCCACUUUUAGGAUAGCCAAGUUUAUUAAUUUGGCAAAAUUGCAAAAAUGGUCCCGUAAGUAUGAGGGGUAACAGAAUUGGGACCGUAAGUAUAGGACUGACAAUUUUGAUCCUAUAAGUAUUGAUUUUUGGACAAUUUUGGUCCUAUAAGUAUUGAAAAUAAAAUCAUACCUUAAGAAAGUCUGUUUUCUUGUAGUGAGAUAUAAAUAUUUAACAUAAAUUAUUAUAAUCUAUUUAUUUUAAAUAAUAAUAAUAAGUCAUUGCUUUCACUUGUAAAAAAAUAUCCAUAGUAACAAUUGCAACGAGCGAAGAUGAUGACAAUGUAGAACUUCGAGUUGAGGUGAGGAGAAUAAAUUUAAUUAAAUAUUAAAAAAUAACUCCCUUUAUUUAUAUUUUAUUCAAGAAUAUAAGUAUUUUAUUAUUGUAUUUUUUCUCUGUUAGAAAAAUGAGAAAUUAAGUUGAAAAAUAACAAAUAAUGUGAGAGAAAAACUUAAUUAACUUUAAACAAACAUAACUUUGGACAGGUUUUGUAAUCUUCUACGAUUUUGAAUGAUUAAAAGUAAAAUUUAUAAUACUUCUAAGUGCUUUUAUAUAUAGUGGAGAACAAAUAAUAUUUGCGAUAGGCAAGCAAAAUUUUUUCCAAGAAAAAUUUUAGGGGCAUGUGUAAUUUAAACAUACUUUAAAUCAUCGCUGUGAAGCAGCUUUCUUCGAAAUCAAAGCAGGGGAACCGUGAGUUUGUGAAUGAAAUAGGCAUGAUUUCUGCUCUUCAACACCCUCAUCGCCGGAACUUUGGAUAUAUGGCACCUGAAUAUGCUAUGCGAGGCUAUUUGAAAGACAAAGCAGACGUCUCCAGCUAUGGAGUUGUUCUUCUUGAAGUAGUCAGCGGAAGGAGCAAUACUAGCAUCAAGACGAAGGAGGACGCCUUCUAUCUCCUUGACUGGGAGAAAGGAAAGUUGAUGGAACUAGUCGACCCAAGACUAGAACCCGACGACUUCAACAGGGAAAGGUUAUGAGGGCUAUCCAUGUAGCACUCCUUUGCACAAACGUCGUAGCUGCAGAAAGGCCGACUAUGUCAACAGUCGUGAGCAUGCUUGAGGGGAGUGCUAGUGUUGGGGAGUUUGUUUCAGAUUCUAACGUCUCCAUUACAAACCUCAACAGUAAGGAAAUGGCGACGACGAUCAAGGACGUUUGGAGCGAGAGCAUAUCGAUGGAUGUGCCGUUGACGGCUUCCUCAGCUUCUGCUGCUGAUCUCUAUCCACUCAGUUUGGAUACUGAUUACUGGGAGAAGAGAGAGCGUCAGUAAAGCAGACCUAUGGCCAGAAUUGUUUUUCACUUUUCUCUUCCUCCUCAAUGCAACAGUUAGCGGAAGAGAAAGCAAAUAACUGUUGCUCAACAUUUUUAUGUUUCUCACAACACUUGCGCAAAAGAUUUAAGAAAGAUGUUCUUAGAACUUAUAAAUAUUAUUUUAGAAAUAAAAUUUUCAAAUUCA